rnacentral:rRNA from 1 species
UACGUAGGGUGCAAGCGUUAAUCGGAAUUACUGGGCGUAAAGCGUGCGCAGGCGGUUUUGUAAGUCUGAUGUGAAAUCCCCGGGCUCAACCUGGGAAUUGCAUUGGAGACUGCAAGGCUAGAAUCUGGCAGAGGGGGGUAGAAUUCCACGUGUAGCAGUGAAAUGCGUAGAGAUGUGGAGGAACACCGACGGCGAAGGCAGCCCCCUGGGUCAAGAUUGACGCUCAUGCACGAAAGCGUGGGGAGCAAACAGG